AUUUGAAUGAGGAGUGUAUCUUUCGGCGCCAUUUUCGAGUGAGCAGCGACUGCCUCAACAGCUGCGGGGAGAGGAUGCUGCUGCGAAUAUAGAGAGCUGUCGCUGAGACGGAGAGAGAGAGAGAGAGAGAGGUGGGGGGGAGAGAGAAGAAGCCAAGCGGUUAAAACCCAAACUGCGUUUUUAGAGAAGAAAAUCCUGUAUUUCAGCGGGAACACAGAUGGAGCUCCUCCUCGUCUGUUUUGAAGCGGGGACAACCAGGCAAGUUGGAAACGCAGAGGACCAGCAUGCACUUUCACUUCUGGCGGUGGUGUAGCAGCACAGAAUGGUUUGUGGGUUACUCUGAGAUGCAGGCCAUGCCGUGCUGCCGCAAUAAAGCCUGAAUAAUACAAGACGGUGCAGCGGCGAGCUUCAGGUCCCUCCAGACGUCUCUGACGACCACUGGCCGCCUGAGUGUAUAUUACACGGAUAAUUGUUUUGCUAAUGAGCGUGAUGAAACGCUUCCAGGCCAUUUGGCCUCCUGAUUCGCCGGUCGCCUUACUGUAGCAGCACGUAAAUAUUGGAGUUAAGACUCGCUGAAGUCUCCAGUAUUGAUCGUGCUGCUGAAGCAAAGCUGACCACUCGCACUCAGUGUUAACAACCAUCCAGCCGAAUGCUCUCAGACCCUCUCUGGGGGAUUACUUGGAUUACAUUGAGUUUAAUAUUGUUUGGUUUUUUUCCCCCCCCCCAAUGAACUAUUUUGUGUUUGAAGAUUUUGAUACCAUCUUGUUAAAUAUGAAUAUUUUGAGAAAUAAAAAUUUUAACUGAA